UUUCAAGUUGAUUGGACUUUAACUUCAUUGAAAACUACCUUGACCAAAAACUUUAACCUGAAACUCACACUUUUAAUUUCUAUGUUCAGUGGACCAUGAAAAUGGGGUCAAAAGAUUAAUUUUGUUUUAAAAUAAGAAAGAUCAUAUCAUAAGGAACAUGUGUACUAAGUUUCAAGUUGAUUGGACUUUAGCUUCUUUAAAAACUACCUUGACCAAAAACUUUAACCUGAAAUGGGACGGACGGACGAACAGACGGACGCACAGACGGAGGGACGCACAGACCAGAAAACAUAAUGCCCCUCUACUAUCGUAGGUGGGGCAUAAAAAU
rnacentral:lncRNA from 1 species